AGUGAACGCUGGCGGCAGGCCUAAUACAUGCAAGUCGAACGGCAGCACAGCAGAGCUUGCUCUGUGGGUGGCGAGUGGCGGACGGGUGAGGAAUACGUGGGAAUCUGCCCAGUCGUGGGGGAUAACGUAGGGAAACUUACGCUAAUACCGCAUGCGCCCUUCGGGGGAAAGCCGGGGACCUUCGGGCCUGGCGCGAUUGGAUGAGCCCAGGUCGGAUUAGAUAGUUGGCGGGGUAAAGGCCCACCAAGGCGACGAUCCGUAGCUGGUCUGAGAGGAUGAUCAGCCACACUGGAACUGAGACACGGUCCAGACUCCUACGGGAGGCAGCAGUAGGGAAUAUUGGACAAUGGGCGCAAGCCUGAUCCAGCCAUGCCGCGUGAGUGAAGAAGGCCCUCGGGUUGUAAAGCUCUUUUGUCCGGAAAGAAAAGCGCCGGGUUAAUACCCUGGUGUCCUGACGGUGCCGGAAGAAUAAGCACCGGCUAACUUCGUGCCAGCAGCCGCAGUAAGUAC
rnacentral:rRNA from 1 species